AGAUUCUGCCGCUGAUCCGCCGGGAAGAGCUGCUGUCGGGGCACGUCCACCGCCGUCUGCGGUCGCCACGGGUCUGCUCGUUGUUCGUACAGCCCCGAAACGACACCGCGCAGCCCCGAAACCAACCCGAACCACUCCGCAAAGUUAUGAGAUGCACAAAAUUGAGGCUAUUGUAGAGGAAUUGAGGUACCUUUGGAGAGGAGAAACACGCACCGACGGGACCCCGGAUUUCCGACGAGAUGGUGGCGAAUCCGCCAGAGGAGAAAGGACGCCGCCUCUGAAUUCUUCGAAUUGAGAAUCGGUGGAAAAAGAAGUUAGUAGGGAAAGAGCUCGUAGCCGGAGGAGCAGUAGAUGGCGGUCUUGGGGGAGUCCAUCUUCUUCCCAACAUUACGUGUAUUUGUGUGUGUUUAGAAAGAGAGUGGCGAGAUGUUCAUAGAGAAUUCUAGAGGGAGAGAUAUUUAGUGUGUGUAUGUGUGUGGCGGUGUAGAAGUGGGAGUUGAAAGUGUGUAGAUGGUUCCCGUAAAUGGGAGAGAAAUGGAUAAAAAUCUCAUUCAAUUUUCCAA